CUGGGCUCACCGUGAUCUGUCCCUUCGGGACGGAGUUCCCCGCGUGGCCGGCUGGAGCCCCGCGCUGGGGGCAGCGGCCACUGGAGGAGGGGACUGGAUGCCAGGUGAGUCAGUGCCCCCGAAGGUCAGACUCAUUUCUAGUUGUGAGAGUGAGGUUGACACCCAAAAUAAACCCCCGAGUGAUGCCCACCCUUUCAUGGAUGCAUGUGGAUGUUUUCAGUUUACCUGUAUCUUUACUAAAUUUCUGCUCUAAUGGGAGAGUUUAUUAAUUUAAUGUUUCUCUUUUUAAAUAAAUCUUCCCCUUUUUCAGUAACUAGACUAUACGGUGUACACGUCGUCUUGCCAGGUCAUGUUUAGUGAAGUGAAAAACUCAGAAAUCUGUUUUCUUCCUCUGAUGGCUGGGAACGCAGAGUGCUCUGGAGCGGAGCCCGCCCGUCCGGGGCCGGCAGCCCUCCCCGCAGCCCGGCCGAGCCCAGCGACGCAGAGCAAGGAAGCUGCACCGUGACACCCCGUCCCACACGACGGGAAGGGCCGCGGGAGCCGCUUUGACUUUCUGCCCGGGGGGCCCAUGGUGAGGACUCACUCCUCUCUCACUGUGUGUGUGUGUGUGUAUUUCCCUCUUACUGUCGUGCGGUUUCAGUGUCAGGUGCUGGCCUGUGGAGGCCUGGGUGUCACGCUCUGUGCGUCUGUGUACCCUCCCCCCGCCCCCCCCAAUUCACGUGCUGGCAUCCUGACCCCCAGCGCGACGGUGUCAGGAGGUGGCACGGGGGGCAGGUGACUAGGUCACGAGGGUGUGGUCCCCUGAUGGGAUCAGUGCCCUGACAGGAUGCGGAAGGAGAGGUCCCCCCCCCUUCCCCCUCCCAGGUGAGGCUGCACCGAAUCUGCCUCCACCAUGACCCUGCUCCCAGCCUGCAGGUCUGCGGUGACCUGCUGAAUGAAGCAGCCGGGGCUGAGUCACUGGGUCCCCGUGACCUCAGCCUUUUCUCCCUGCAGCCCCCAACCCUCCAAGUCAGAAGUUUCCCAAAAUUAACCCAGCGUUAAAAUCCUCUGUUAUUAAAGAAAGGUGUUAAAGGUCAAGUCUUCUAAUCUGGAAGUGCCCUGUUGACAUUUUAUGUAGAAAAUUUUUACUUUGUAACCUUCAUAAUAUUUACUUGUUGUAUUUCAAACAAAACCACAGUUGGAAGGGGACACAUUUCAGCCAGUUUCUUUGGUUUGUAUCGAGAUCACCCUCAGCUCUUUUCCAAGAAAUAUGGAGCCUAUUUGGUCCACCCCAAAGACUUUAUUUCUGCACAAGACAGACCAAGAGCCCAGAACGUUGGAGCCAUCACAGAUUUUGUGCAGAAAGCCAAGCUUCAGAAAGUUCAAGGCCAGCCACGCCAGGACUCUCAUUUUCCAUCUUCCAGUAAUUGCUUGAUUGUCUCAAAAUGAAACAUGUAUUCACUUAAAAAAAAAAAACUCAGAAAAACACCGCAUUCACUGAAAAUGAUGGUUUACACUUUAAUUUGGAGUCAGUUACCCAACCGUGGGUUAACCUUCGUCAGUUCGUCCUUUGCCGGCUGGGUGUUCAGCCCCCUCGCCCCUCAGCGCCCCCAGGUUCCCCCGCCCUUGUCACGGGGACGGGCCUGAGGCCCAGGAAGCAGGUGUCCCCGGGGGCAUCUCUGCACUGCCGCUCGGCCCGGCCGCCCCAGAUCACCUGUCAGAUGAACAGCCUGUGACAGUUAGCCCUCAAGAGAGGAUGUUUCCAGUCUGAAGCUGCUGACCUUUUUCAAAAUCAUCUUCGUUGACGGAGGGGAGACAGCGGCGGCGCGGGACUCAGCACCCUUCUCAGAAGCCGAGACCCCAGAAGUGAUGCCCUUGCGCUGUGUUUCCCUGUGCUGGAUUCACCCGUCUCUCCGAGGGCCUGGUUCUUCUGUGAGGAAUGGUGUCUGGAAAUCGGGAGAUGGCCGUCCAGCUGCCCCAACACCACGUGAUAAAAAGUCCGUCUUCUAUACUGAUUUGAGAUGCCACUCCUCUUGUGCUGGAUUUUCCUGGGCGCGUGGCUCUGUCUCUAGUCUUGGCAUCCUCUCCCGUUGGUCAUCGUUGGUCAGUCCAGCAGUUUUUCCAUCAUAGAGACGCUGUGGGUUGUUUUAGUGUUUUCUAGCUAUUUUUGUGUAUUUUUCCAAAUGAACUGUAAUAUCAUACAGUUCUGUUGAACUGCAAAAAAAAAAAAAAAGGGUUAUUGGUCUUCUGUUGAGAUCCCAUUAAUUUCGCAGUAACUUGGAGGCGUCUGACAUCUUGGUGGCGCACAGGCACCAGUCCCGGGACAAGCAAACCUUCCCACUUGUUCAUGUCUGCUCUUCCCGUCACCAACACUGCGUAGCCAACCGCCCACAACUCGGUGGGUUAAAACACCUGCCGCUUCUCAGUCAGGAGUCACGGGUGGUUGGCUGGGCCCUGCUCUGUUCUAUGCGGUCACCCAGCCGCCCUGCAGGGCCCGGGGCAGCUUCGCCACCUGCGGGAGGGCUGCUCCCGUGAGGGCCUCUCCUCCACGUGGCCUCAGGCCUUUCCCGCGGCAGCUGCGCAAGUUCAGAGGACUUGUGGCUUCUCAGGCUCAUGGUGCAGAGACAGGAGGCGAGGCUGCCAGUCCCAUCCUGCCCGAAACUCUCAAGCAUCCUUCCUGCCACAUUCUGUUGUCACAAAGCUGACCCAGACCCAAGGGCAGGCAGGCGUGAGACCCUGAGCUCAGCGAUAGCCAGGCCGGAGGGUUCGCGGCCGGCUUCAGUCUGACACGUCCGCUUUUGUGUGUCCAGGAUGUUUCAAGUUUCUCCUAAUGCAGGUUUUGCACACUUCUUGGCUGGUGUACUCCUAAGCUGCUUAUUGCUUUUCUUGCUAUUGUGAAAGGGCUUUUCUCUCCCAUUAUAUUUGCUUAUAAUUUUUGUAUAUGAAGGUUACUGCUUUUUGCAUGUCAAUUUAUAUCCUGCCAGCUUGCUGAAUUUUUUUUUUUUUUGAGUUAGUCUUGUCAUUAGUUAUCUGGAUUUUCCAAGCAUAAUACCAUCCUGUGUAUAGAGAUGCUUUUACUGCUUUUCCAGUUAUUAGGCCCAUCUUUGUUUUUUCUUGUCUAGUUAUAUUGGCGAAUACCCAACAGGAUGUUAAACAGCAGAGAUAGUAAAGUCCUUGCAGACACCUCCAUAUCCCCUUUUGGGAACCGGUGCCUUUAGGGUAUUUUCGUGAUAAGAAGUAUCCAUCUGUUCAGAUUAUCUGAAGUGCUUCUGUUAAGAAUGGGUGUUGAAUUUUGUUAAAAAUUUUUUUCUAGCAUCUUGGAGGUAAUCAUGCAGCUUUUCAUCUCAGACCUAUUAAGAUGGUAUUGAUAGAUUUCCUGUAUCAAACCACCCUGUGUUCCCGUACAAAUCUCACUUGGUUGUUGACUUCUGCUUUUUUUUUUUUUUAAAGUUAUUUUUGGCUGUGCUGGGUCUUCAUUGCUGCACGCGGGCUUUCUCUAGUUGUGGCGAGCGGGGGCUACUCUUCGUGCGGUGCGCGGACUUCUCAUUGCGGUGGCUUCUCUUGUUGCGGAGCAUGGGCUCUAGGCGUGCGGGCUCAGUAGUUGUGGCUCAUGGGCUUAGUUGCUCUGCGGCAUGUGGGAUCUUCCCGGACCAGGGCUUGAACCUGUGUCCCCCGCAUUGGCAGGCCAGAUUCUUAACCACUGCACCACCAGGGAAGUCGACUUUUGCUUUCUUAAUGUGGUAUGAGAGUCUGCUUUACUUGCUAAUAUUUUAUUUGAAACUUUACAUAGUAUUUUAUUUGAAUUUUACAAGUUCAUAAAUGAUAUUGGUCUAAAAUUUUCUUUUGUGUGUGAGGGCUCUCUGAAUCAGUUUUAGGUAUGUUAUGCUUGCUUGAUAAAAAAAAUUGAAAUCUAUUCUCUGAAAUAAUUUCGUAUUGGAGCUAUUGGAACUGUAAAAGUUUGGUGGAACUCCCUAUUUUGAAACCGCCUGGGCUUGGUCCUUUUUUUGUGGGGUAGUUCCCUGAUGAAUUUCUGUAUUUCUUCUAUGUAAAUCAGCCCCUUUUUGCUUUCUGUCACAACUGGGGUUGAAUUCAGUAAAAUUUUUUCCUAGGAAAUUAUCCAUUUCAUCUACAUUUUCAAUUUUGUUUGCAUAGAGGGCUCAGUAAGUUUUUUUUUUUAAAUACAUUUAUUUAUUUAUUUUUAGCUGUGUUGGGUCUUCGUUGCUGUGCGAGGGUUUUCUCCAGCUGUGGCCAGCGGGGGCUACUCUUCGUUGCAGUGCGCGGGCUUCUCAUUGCAGUGGCUUCUCUUAUUGUGGAGCAUGGGCUCUAGGCACAUGGGCUUCAGUAGUCGUGGCACACGGGCUCUAGAGCACAGGCUCAGUAGGUGUGGUGCACGGGCUUCAGUAGUUGUGGCACACGGGUUCUAGAGCACAGGCUCAGUAGGUGUGGUGCACGGGCUUCAGUAGUUGUGGCACACGGGUUCUAGAGCACAGGCUCAGUAGGUGUGGUGCACGGGCUUCAGUAGUUGUGGCACACGGGUUCUAGAGCACAGGCUCAGUGGGUGUGGCGCACGGGCUUAGUUGCUCUGCGGCAUGUGGGAUCUUCCCAGACCAGGGAUCGAACCCGUGUCCCCUGCAUUGGCAGGCGGAUUCACAACCACUGUGCCACCAGGGAAGCCCCUCAAUAAGUUUCUUAAGAGACUCAAAAUAGAAAAUUCAGAUUUCAAAAUUUAAAAGAGAAUUUUGAGAUAACUGAUUCUGUGCAUGUAACUAUGUGGUGAUAAUUUUUUUUCUUGUCUUUCUUAGUUCUAGUGUAAUGUGUUCUAGUAAAUGAAAUCAUGCUAGAACGCACAAUUUGGGAAAUGAAACUCAAGUUUUUAAUACAUCAGUUGACAAUUACUUUCAGUAUCUUGGGUGUCAUUUACAAUCCUGCAAAUAAUAAACUCGUAGCUUUUAACAUUCAGGCCGAACAGUCACCUGACUGGGCCUGUUAAGCAGAAGAUGAAAAUAAAAAUCACUUACUGUUUUGUCAGUGGAAAUGUUAUAGGCCAGUUAACAAAACUCUGAAACUUAUGGACACGAAUUUGAGCCCAGUUAGUUUCUAGUUCAGUGUACAAAUCAUACAGGCUCUUGGGCUAUGAGGAGAAAGCUUUAGUAUACUCGGUCUAUAAAAGAAUUGUUUACCCUUAAAAAGUUCAAGUAGGAACCACUGUCCUCCUCGGCCGCCUCCUGAGAUCAGGGCAGGCAGAGCCUUUGUUGUCAGGCCUCAGGGGAGGACACUGGGCCCAUCACCCUGCUUAGGUCCUGGACGUGAGCACCACUGGUCAGCGGCAGGACCCUUUCCCCUGAAGGAUCUGUGACUUUCUUUCCUGUCCCCGCUCUGUCCCCCGGUCCUCUGUGGGCUUCGCCCUGCGCUGCUGUCCCGCGUCGGAUCCCUUCCCAGCAGACGCUGAGACGAGGGCGGGCAGCGCACCCGGGUGCUAGAGGGAGGCGGGUGGAGCAGGAAGGGGACGAGGCCCGCUCUCAGUGCACCGCGGGCAGCCGGAUGGGUCCUGGUCCCGGGAGGCACGGACAGCCCUGAGGGCCGGCUCGGCAGUAGUGGGUGGGCUGCUCUGGGCGUCAGUGCCAGCCUUUCCCUGCCUGCCCUGCGUGCAGCCACUCUGCAGACAGAGGGACAAGCUGGCCAGGGGACAUGGUCAGAGCGCCGACUGUAUUUGUUGGCUGCAAGUUUUAUGUGAACAUGUUCCUUUAAAAACACGUAUUGUUGUCAUUUUGUAUAAAUGGCAUUGGGUACGGAUGUUGGUUAUUUUCCCGCUCAGUACUUUUUUGUGUGGAGACAGACGUUCUCUCUGUCGUUUCCAGGUCCGGUCUGGGACCCACGUCGCUCCGAUCCAGGCCUUCAGCACUGCCCACCCAGACGGGCUCCGGCUCUGCAGGGUCACCAGCCGUGCUGCAGGGGACACCCGUGUGCCCCACCUGCUGUGGGCCGGAGCUUUGGGGUGAUCGCAGGAGUGGAAGUGCUGGGUCCAGGCCUCCGCGGAUCUCCUUCUCCCGGCUGACACCGGGGGGCUCAGGUCUGCGUGGCUUCGCCCGCUGCCUGCCGGGGACUGAGCAGGCGCUGGGGUGCCGGCACCGCCCCUCCCGCCCGUGUGCCUCCCCGUGCUUGCCAGCUGUGUCGCCCGGGGCAGGCUCAUCGUGCGGGUUCCCUAUUCCUGAUGAAUGAUCUGUUUUCGGUGGGAGGUGUCCCUCUUUUUUCCUGAUGAUUCUGCUUCUCUUGAACCCCGGCUGCCCGUCGAGCUCCUCGGAGUCGGCGUCUCCCCACCCGUCACCUCCAGGCUCUCUGCGCCUCUGCAGGUCUCGCAGGAAACGCAGUGGACUCCUGUGCACUUCCCUUCACCACAACCCGGUGUCAGAUUGGCUUCGCUGUGUGCCUAUCAGGCGAGCGGACUUCGCUUCGGUAACAGUUUUGGUGACCCAGACGGAACAUUCGUGCUGAGUGGUUUCCCACCUGUGUCACAUCAGCCCCUGGCUGGUGGCGGCUCUGGGAUCCCGUCCAGCAGCUGCCCGGGCGCUUUUGUCUCAGGGACAGCCCCCAGUGCCUGCCGCUGACUGGGCAUCGCUGGGCCACAGCGCUUUCGAUUCCCUGAUGAAGGAAGCAAGGCUGUGGUCCUGGUCUGAGACAUCUGGAGUCUCUCGGUCAUCCAGCACUGCCUACGGUCACCCCCUAUUAGACCACGGCUCAUCUGCACCCCGGUUGGAACAGCAGAAUCAUCACAAGGAAAAUUACUUGAUACAAUGGAACUUUUAAUAUAGGUUCAUAUAGUCCUUCAUCCAGUCUCACUGGUCUCCCACGAUCAUCUCAAAAGGAGACAAAUGUUUUCCGAAACGGGUGGAUCCGAGGUUGAGGAGAACCAAUGGAAGGGCCUUAGGCCAGACGGCAGCUCAGGAUGAGGACUUACCUCCAGCGCUCCCACCAGUUUCCCAGUUGCCUGAGCAAGCCAGUGCCGUCAGGAAGGAGAUGUCAGGAAGGAGAUGGCUCAUCAGGGCUUCCAGCUCCGAAGAAGGGACAUCUUCAUUUUUAUUCCAAUAAUUUCUGUUAAAGUCCAAAUAAAGGAAAAAUGACAUGUCAGUCUCCCACCUAAUUUCCCAGUCCAACCAAACUCAGUGUCUUUCAAUUGAGUAAAAUCUUCCCAAUCUCUCCCAACUGGGAUAACCCAGGUACUUCUUCUUGAAAUUAGAUUCAAGGAAAACCUCCUCCCCUCCAGUGAGGACUUAAUCCACCACCGAAUACAACAGGAUCAGCCAGUAACAGGAGAUCUGAGACCAGGAGGGCUCGCCAAGGAGACAGGUGGGCACAAGAGGCCUCUGCUGGCCAGUCCCCCCCAGUCCCUGCAGGGCUCAGGCAGAGGAGAAGCCUGCUCCGCGUCCCUUCAGGUCACCAAAGCUGCUGACUGAAGGAAAACACACAGCCCAAAAGCUGCAAGUUAAAGUUUUAAGCCCAGGAGACAGCCUCUCAGGAGGUAAGGGAGGUGCCAAGAUGCAUAGAGUUUUUGUUGGAAGACAAGAAUUUAGUCAAAGAUUACUGCUUACCACACACACCAAAGCCCCACACAGUUUAGGUUAAUAAUUUUAGUGCUUUUGUAUGUAUGGGAAGAUGAAGAAUCUGGCCUCACUGAAAUUAUUCUUUAGAUGUGCACUUAACGAUCUAGGGCUGGUACCCAGAGCACAGAAUGUUUCCUGAAUCCCCGCAGGGCACGCCGUCAGGGCAGCUACAGCAGCUGAUGGCUCGAUCGUGCCCAGUGUUCUUUGUUACUGGACUGGCAGGUGACACUCCUUGUCCACACUACAUACAUCAUAUUGCUGUUGCUUCAUUAUCAAUGCAUGGACCAUUAUACCUGUAAAUAAAAAUGAAUUUUCACAUUGUUUUUGA